rnacentral:rRNA from 1 species
GACAGAGGUGCCGAGCGUUAGGCGGAAUCACUGGGCUUAAAGCGUGUGUAGGCGGGCGGGCAAGUACCUUGUGAAAUCCCACGGCUCAACCGUGGAACGGCUGGGUAUACUGCCUGUCUUGAGCCAACUAGGGGCGAGCGGAACAGACGGUGGAGCGGUGAAAUGCGUAGAUAUCGUCUGGAACGCCGAAGGUGAAAACAGCUCGCUGGGGCUGCGCUGACGCUGGAGACACGAAAGCCAGGGGAGCGAACGGG